AAAAGCCCCUUGUUGCUUGUAAAAAUCAAACAAGCUCCUUGUUGGAAAACAGCUCUUUUCAGAGGCAGUACAGCUGCAGAUGAUGCUGUAGCCACACUACUCAGCCAGAGUACCUACCAUGGACCAGCUUUCAGCAGUGCCAGCAGGUAGUCAAAGAUGCAAGGUUUACAGGCCUGUUUGGAUCAGCUCCUUUUCAAAGGUUCAGAGGCACGGAUUGCAUCGAAUGGCCUGGAACACCUGGGUGUAACCUCGAGUUUGUCUCAUCAAGGUGAUUUGAUUGACAGAGGCACUGUUGGAGCAGGUGCUGCCAAAUGGAGAGCAUCAUGAUAGCUGAGCCCUACUGGAUGUGUUCAGAGGCUGG
rnacentral:lncRNA from 1 species